AUUAAUAUGCCACCAAACACUUUGACAAUGCAAUAAUUUUGGAAUAACUAAUUGAAGCAAUAACAUAAAGGGAUAUACGGAAACUGACAUAAUAAUAUAAAUUGAAAAUAGUAAAGGACCACUGCCACUGGACCCGAUUACAAAAGUCAUCAACCCUAAAUAAAGUACCUAAUUAAAAGACUACAGAUAAUGAGCCAAGCUGAAACUUUAACAUUUGCCCUACUUAAAGGCCCACUGCCACUGGGCCACAAAACAACAGUAUUUAAGCCCACUGCCACUGGGACAAACUACAACAUAUAAAGUUAUUUCAACCUAAUCAUAAUAUUAAUAAUAAUACUAACAUAAGAGUAAUUCUAACACCUUCAGCUUAGGGGAUCUUCUCAAUCUUCACAGCCCUCUUCAAUAACUUGAUAGGAGCAUUGUCAUCUUCAACAUCUUGAUCUUCAUGUUGAGGGGACACUCUCUUUGCAAAGGAUUUCUUGCGCUGUCCACAUGGCCUACCAGA
rnacentral:lncRNA from 1 species